GCAUUUGAUAUGCUACAGCUUGCCGAGAGGCUGUAUUCUUUAGUGUGAUCUUUUUGUACUUGUCGGGCAUUUUAUAUGCAACAGCUUGCCGAGAGGCUGUAUUCUUUAGUGUGAUCUUUUUGUAGUUGUCGGGCAUUUGAUAUGCUACAGCUUGCCGAGAGGCUUUAUUCUUUAGCGUGAUCUUUUUGUACUUGUCGGGCAUUUGACAUGCAACAGCUUGCCGAGAGGCUGUAUUCUUUUGUGUCAUCUUUUUGUACUUUUUGGGCACUGUAAAUAAACCGGCACCAUUUUUGCAACCUUCAACUCUCUGAGCCGACAACUGCUUUUUGACCAACUGACUCCUUGGUUGCGUCCCGUCCCGCAUGUGAGUUGGGGGUUCAAUACCUCUUUCUCACAUAUACUUAAAUAAUGUAAUCUUGUGAGCGAGUAAAUUGACAGUGGAAUUUAACACCAGCUACGUCCAUGCAAAAUGCAAAAUAAAUCUAUAAAAAGCAAUACGGUACAAAACAUUUCUGAAAACUAAUAUAACUUCACUUCAUUUGAACGUGUACUGCUCUGCCAUUUUCAAGAACCCGCCCAGUGAACGCAGAGGAUUGUGGGUAGUUUUGGCUCGUCUAGGAUGCAGCGAUGCAUCCUUGAAAGAUCUCGGAAUUCUCAAAAACAAAGGACGCAAAAAUGGCGUGGCUUUCAAGUGUCCUCAACAUUGGAACAGUGCUUGUCGGCGUUCUAUGACGUAGCGUCCUUAAAAGGGCGGCUGUUGAGCAUGCUUCCUUGACAUUGGGAAACAGCCUCUCUCUCUUUCCACUGAGGCAGGUGGGCAUGGGUUCUGUUUAGGGUGGUUCCUUAAGGGUUUGGACCUUUGGAUUGAUUCCAUGUUUUGUUUAAUGUUAACACUAUUCAACAUCCCCACAGCACACUUUCCACUGCCCAUAUACAUAGGCUAAUCGAAAGAAUUGUGUGUUUGGUCAGUAGUUCAGUUGGUUGGUCAUGUAUGUUGGUUUGCUGAUCAGGUUUGGUUUGUUGCAUUUUGUUUGGGUAUUUCCAACAUGGUAAAGAUGGUUUGUUGUUCCCAGUAUUUGUUUUGUCUGUCUGGGUUAAGUUUCCUCCGUUCUGGCUCGGUCGGUCCUUGUGAUUUUGGUACUGGUUUUCUGUCCACCAUAUAAUCGCACAUUUUCUAAUCUUCCAUACGCUACACUAAUCCCUUUACAGAUUUCAUGAUACUUACUUUAUUCUAAUAAAUAACUUUAUCCCUUAUGUGUGGAUCCCGAUCUUUGCUCUGACCCGAGCCUCGUCUUAAUGCAGCCAAGGAGAUGGAAGAGCGUUAUGAAUAAUUAUUAGAUGAUUGUGUUGUACAAUGAAAGACAGUAAAGAUUCAAAUUUGAAUGGCAAAAUAAGGAUCGGAUUUUAUUUGAACAAUAAAAUAUGUGUUGGGCAAAUUAGAGGCUGAGAUUAUAAAUUUCAUAUUCAAAAGGCGAAGGGGUGAAAAAAUUUAAGAAAUAUAUUUAAGAAAUAUAGGCCUACUCAAAGCCCAACUCAUUGAUAUCAUACCCUAUCCAAUAAUAAAGAAAUUUGAAUUGGAAUGGUAACAAUUCCGUUAAAUCCUCGUCCUCGUUUUGAUAGUCUCACUCAUGGCCGAUCAGUGUGUUCUUUCUGAUUGGCUCUUAAUUGAGAUCACCUGUCACGCUCCCCUUUAUUAAAGGUGAACACAAUGGGUUUGGUUUACUUUUCGCAUCGGCCUGUGUCAAUCAAGGUUGAGUUUAGUGAGGGUUGAAAGUUUUCGAUUUAGAUUGCAGAUCACUAUUGUCACUUUAUACAAACUGAAAGUAUGCGUUGUUGCGUGUUUGUUUUUGUGGGCAUUUGACUGAACAGCCCAGACAAAUAUUGCUACCAACAUGGCACUUCGAAACAGACCACCGCAGGGGACUUGACUGUUGGUGGUUCAACACUGAUGUCUCUCUGAGCUUGAGGGAGAGCUCACAAGUAAAUUACAUGAAUGUCCUGGAGCAAUUGGGAAUACACUUUUAUUUAGUCUACCUGACCAGGGACAUCUUUGAACUAUAGGUCACCUAACCCAAACUUUUCACUCUUGUUAGGUUGUCCUUUUCUCUUGUUUUAACCCGAAAGGGCUGAAAAUAUCAACAUUUCAGGUAUUCUGUUUGGAUAAUGUGCAAAACUUGUGGCUUCACUAAUAAAAAAAAAUAACGAAUUUAUUUUUCUUAAUGUGGUUAAACUAUUUAAAGAUUUGUAUGCAAAAUAUUUCUGCUCAAUUUGUAGUCAAUGAAACUCAAUUUUUUUAAUUUGAUAAAACAUAACUAUGGGUUAAAGGUAUUUGCUUUGGGCAUCUUUUGAUAUUUUUAGAAUCUAGCUCCAUUGCCGUUAGAAAUGGUGUCUCCCAGUACUGCAAAGUGCUUCCACAAGUUUAAAAAAAAAUGGGCAGAAAAGGAACUGCCAACUAAAUCUAUUUAACAUUGGUAGAAAGUUUCCAUGGAAGCUCUUGGCUGCUGGUUCCCAACACGGCUCCACUGUUAGCCUGUGACCUUGCGUUUAACUUUUUUGGACUUUUGGUGACUUUCACAAGAGAAAUUAACUGGUUAAUACAAUAAACAAGACAUUUGAAACUUCAGCUGCAUUUUUAUCUAUUUGUACUGCCUUUGAUUUCAACCCGUGACAUGUUUGUCAGGUGAUAACUAUGUACCUGUGACCGCAUAUCAUGGAACCAUUUUGAACUGUUUGUGGAUAUUGCAUUAUCCAUAUGCUUGAAACUUUUCAAUAAUGCAUAUCAACGAAACAAUGGAAUGAAAUAAAUAGUUCAAGCAAUUUGUGGGACUUGGCUGCUUUUACAUUAUUACUCAUUUUGGGGGUUAUUUCAGUCUCUCCAACCUGCAGGUCGUGCGAAGAAUCAUAAUGUGAAUGGG
ensembl:lncRNA